UACAGAGGUCCCGAGCGUUGUUCGGAUUCAUUGGGCGUAAAGGGUGCGUAGGCGGUUUGGUAAGUUUGAUGUGAAAUCCUGGGGCUCAACCCUGGAACUGCAUUGAAUACUGCUGAACUAGAGAUCUGGAGAGGAAACUGGAAUUUACGGUGUAGCAGUGAAAUGCGUAGAGAUCGUAAGGAAGACCAGUGGCGAAGGCGAGUUUCUGGACAGAUACUGACGCUGAGGCACGAAGGCCAGGGGAGCAAACGGG
rnacentral:rRNA from 1 species